ensembl:lncRNA
CAACUGUUUUAAAUCUUUAUGCAUUUUAUCUAAUUUAGUCAGCUAUAGUUUUAAGUUAUAGGUUUAAACAUAAGUUGUUGCUUUUCACCAUUUAAUGGGUUAAACUAAUUUAUCUUUUAUCCCACGUUAAUUCUGGAUAAAUUGAGUCCAUUUAUUGUUUAACAUCAUUAAUCAUUACUCUGCCUUUUGCUUUUUGACUUCCCCACAAUGUAACUUCUCCUUUGUUAUUGCAGAACACAAAAGUAUUAUCACAUAUUAUCGAGUGCAUUCAGGGUAGAGUAGGUUAUUUUCAUGACAAUAAUAGGGAAAUAAUGUAAAUCAAAUCCAAAAUGUAAUGAAAUAUUAAAUGUUUGAACCUUCAACAUGAGUAUAACGUCCCUCUCUGCAAUGACACCCAUUGUAUUCAAAAUGUUCAUCCCUCUUACAGUAAUAAGACAGUUAUUACAGUAAUAGUGAGUGGUGGGCUGUGAAUCUCAUUGAGAUAUAUCUCCUGUAUGGUUUUAUUCUCCUCUGUAAACCUCCAGGUGUGGAGACCUUCUGCAACGCCACACAGCCACACAUCACGACCCAGUGCUUUGGCUCUCUGGGAGGAACCGUAGAGGUCCAGAUGCUUACUCAGUACUCACAAGAUGAUACCUUCAGACUGAAGAAGAACAAUGUCACGAUUUUAUCAGAACGCAAUCAGACAAACAUUCGAUAUUCAUUUAAUGUCAGUACUGGAAUAUUUACUAUAAAGGACAUCGACAGGAAAGACAAUGGUGAAUACUCAAUGGAAGUAUAUGACCGAGAAGCUGGAAGGCUAGUGGCAUCUACAAAAUGUUAUUUAACCAUUCAAGCCCCGGCCUCCUCUCCCCUCAUGUCCCGGGAGUGUCUGUCCUGGGGACAGCAGAGGGUGUCCUGCUCUGCCGGGGGGGACGGACUCCACUACAGCUGGAGUCUAGACGGACUCCCGCUGAACGACCCGCGUCUCCUCUCCGGACCCAGUAGCGCUAGUGACGUCACUCUGGAGCCGGGCCGGUCGGGACUGGUCACCUGCUCGGUCCACAACAUCAUGAGCAACGCCACGGCCAACAUCACCUUGUCUGUGUGUGACGGUGUGAAGACCGUCUGCGACGCCACACAGCCACGCGUCACGACCCAGUGCUUUGGCUCUCUGGGAGAAACCGUGGAGGUCCUGAUGCCUACUCAGUCCUCACAAAAUGAUACCUUCAGACUGAAGAAAGACAGAGUCACGAUUUUAUCAGGACGCAGUCAGACAAACAUUCGAUAUUCAUUUAAUGUCAGUACUGGAAUAUUUACUAUAAAGGACAUCGACAGGACAGACAAUGGUACAUACUCAAUGGAAGUACAUAAUGUAACUGGAAUGGGAGUAGCAUUUACAAAAUGUUAUUUAAACAUUCAAGCCCCGGUCUCCUCUCCCCUCCUGUCCCGGGAGUGUCUGUCCUGGGGACAGCAGAGGGUGUCCUGCUCUGCCGGGGGGGACGGACUCCACUACAGCUGGAGUCUAGACGGACUCCCGCUGAACGACCAGCGUCUCCCCUCCGGACCCAGUAGCGCUAGUGACGUCACUCUGGAGCCGGGACGGUCGGGACUGCUCACCUGCUCGGUCCGCAACAUCGUGAGCAACGCCACGGCCAACAUCACCUUGUCUGUGUGUGACGGUGUGAAGACCGUCUGCGACGCCACACAGCCACGCGUCACGACCCAGUGCUUUGGCUCUCUGGGAGAAACCGUGGAGGUCCUGCUGCCUACUCAGUCCUCACAAAAUGAUACCUUCAGACUGAAGAAAGACCAUGUCUCGAUUUUAUCAGAACGCUAUCAGACAAACAUUCGAUAUUCAUUUAAUGUCAGUACUGGAAUAUUUACUAUAAAGGACAUCGACAGGAAAGACAAUGGUGAAUACUCUAUGGAAGUACAUAAUGCAGAUGGGAGGGGAGUAGCAUUUACAAAAUGUUAUUUAACCAUUCAAGCCCCGGUCUCAUCUCCCCUCCUGUCCCGGGAGUGUCUGUCCUGGGGACAGCAGAGGGUGUACUGCUCUGCCGGGGGGGACGGACUCCACUACAGCUGGAGUCUAGACGGACUCCCGCUGAACGACCCGCGUCUCCUCUCCGGACACAGUAGCGCUAGUGACGUCACUCUGGAGCCGGGCCGGUCGGGAUUGCUCACCUGCUCGGUCCGCAACAUCGUGAGCAACGCCACGGCCAACAUCACCUUGUCUAUGUGUGACGGGCUCACCCCGUUCAUCGCUCGUUCUCUGACGGUGGUGCUGCUGCUCCUAGCAGCAUUGGGAUUCUACUGGGCACUAAAGAAGAAGAAAACCUCCAGCCCUCGAGACAUCGCGCUGUCCUCCAUGGCGGUAGAUGAUGGUGUGACGUACGGUAACGUCUCCGGGGCGACCGGGAGGGCAGGGGGACAGUGA